rnacentral:rRNA from 2 species
UGCAGUCGAGCGGACAGAUGGGAGCUUGCUCCCUGAUGUUAGCGGCGGACGGGUGAGUAACACGUGGGUAACCUGCCUGUAAGACUGGGAUAACUCCGGGAAACCGGGGCUAAUACCGGAUGGUUGUUUGAACCGCAUGGUUCAGACAUAAAAGGUGGCUUCGGCUACCACUUACAGAUGGACCCGCGGCGCAUUAGCUAGUUGGUGAGGUAACGGCUCACCAAGGCAACGAUGCGUAGCCGACCUGAGAGGGUGAUCGGCCACACUGGGACUGAGACACGGCCCAGACUCCUACGGGAGGCAGCAGUAGGGAAUCUUCCGCAAUGGACGAAAGUCUGACGGAGCAACGCCGCGUGAGUGAUGAAGGUUUUCGGAUCGUAAAGCUCUGUUGUUAGGGAAGAACAAGUGCCGUUCAAAUAGGGCGGCACCUUGACGGUACCUAACCAGAAAGCCACGGCUAACUACGUGCCAGCAGCCGCGGUAAUACGUAGGUGGCAAGCGUUGUCCGGAAUUAUUGGGCGUAAAGGGCUCGCAGGCGGUUUCUUAAGUCUGAUGUGAAAGCCCCCGGCUCAACCGGGGAGGGUCAUUGGAAACUGGGGAACUUGAGUGCAGAAGAGGAGAGUGGAAUUCCACGUGUAGCGGUGAAAUGCGUAGAGAUGUGGAGGAACACCAGUGGCGAAAGGCGACUCUCUGGUCUGUAACUGACGCUGAGGAGCGAAAGCGUG